rnacentral:miRNA from 1 species
GGGUGAGUUCUCCAUUGGCAGG